rnacentral:rRNA from 1 species
UACGGGGGGGGCAAGCGUUGUUCGGAAUUACUGGGCGUAAAGGGCUCGUAGGCGGCCAACUAAGUCGGACGUGAAAUCCCUCGGCUUAACCGGGGAACUGCGUCCGAUACUGGAUGGCUUGAGUUUGGGAGAGGGAUGCGGAAUUCCAGGUGUAGCGGUGAAAUGCGUAGAUAUCUGGAGGAACACCGGUGGCGAAGGCGGCAUCCUGGACCAACACUGACGCUGAUGAGCGAAAGCCAGGGGAGCGAACGGG